GUGCUUUAAGACUCCUUGUACUAUGCCCCAGCCUGCACUGCCUGACUUUGACCCUCGCUGCUUUAAAAUUAGAAGCAAGUCUCAGACAAUGCAGGACCUGCACAGAAAAAUCAGCUGUGCUCUUAGCCACUGCUGAAGUAGAACAUGCCUUUGGAAGAGAGUGAAAUAAGCACUGUCUGAAAAGACAAAAGUGAAGAACACAACCAUGAGUUGAGGCGUUCACCUGCUAAUGGAAAAGUCAUCCAGAGGCAUCCUACCUGCUCCUCUCUAAAAAAAAAAAAAAAUUUAUAAUAAAAAAAUAGUA